CGAUCUUUAUAAAGUUGUUUGAAGCGUCUAUGAUAAACAGAGAGCAAAUUAGAAUCCAAGGAAGUUGACAUGUCAUCACUUCAUUUUUUUGCGCCUGCGCAUAAAUCUGAGAAACGUGAGUUUGUCAUCAUUUUUAUCUAGACAUAGGAUAGGUUGUGUGAAAAUAUUACUGAUGUUUAACGUUAAAAAUGGACCAAAAGAUUAAUGCUAAACAACAUUUGACAUGUUUGAACGAACAUAAAUAGAUUAUUUACUAGGUUUUUUUAGCUUUUCGGCGUGAUUUUACCAGCCCCCCAACCACGUUUUGUGGGAGCAUAAUGAACGCUAAGUACUUGGUGUUAUUUGGACAUAAAUUAUGAACUUUGUCAAAAGAAACCACAUUUGUUCCGGACCUGGAAUGCCUUCCGGACCUGGGAUCCUGCCUUCUGAUGGAGAUAAUCAAAGUCUCCUACAGACAAAAACAUCCCAAUAAACAGGACCUCUUUUUUUCUACCCUCGAUGGAGGAACGUGUCCUGCAUAAUACAUCGGUCCUGCAUCGCAUCGGAUCCGCCAAGGACCAGAUGAUGGAGAGGAUGGACCGAUGGGAGAGGAGUGGUAUCCUCUCUCCACCUACACAAACCCCCCCCGAUACAACCAUCUCUUCCUCCUACGACGUCUGGCUCUGGCGCGCCUCGCCUGGCACUCCAGAGGGAGUACGAUGGGACGGCGGCUGGGUGCAAGGGGUUUCUCUCCAGUUAGAGUUGUACCUGGCCACCGUCAGACCUGCUCCUACAGGAGAGGAGAGCGUGAGUGCCCUCGUUUCCUGCCUGACGGGCCGAGCUCUGGAGUGGGCUAAUGCGGUCUGGAACGCUCCAGACUCGGCGAGGGACCACUACCCAGAGUUCACCCUGUUUUCGACCACCCCCCCGAAGGUAGAGUGGCGGGUGAACGGCUGUUCCACCUCAGGCAGGAGACGAGGAGACCUUGGCUGCUGGAGCGGGGUGGAAUGACAGGGCCCUCAUAGACCACUACCGGUGUAGUCUCCGGGCGGACGGCCGCAGGGAGCUGGCCUGUAGGGACACCAAUCUAUCCCUGGACGAACUCAUUGAUAUGUCCAUACGGUUGGACAAUUUGCUGGCUGCCCGCAGGCGUUCGGAGAGGGUCCUGCCCGUUCCACCCCCGUGCACCCCCGCCCCUACCCCUAUGGAGGUAGGGGGGGCCGUGCCAAGGGGCACCGGAGGAGGUGGCUCCU
rnacentral:lncRNA from 1 species